rnacentral:lncRNA from 1 species
CUCUUUCGGUGACAUUCUCAUGCAUCUCAAUGUCUUCGUAAAGUGUGAGCACACCACCAGUACCUUCAUUAUCAGUUGCAUCCUUCUCAGUACCUUCUUCAUCACCACCCUCUGUCUCAGUAGCCUCUGUAUCAAUAGCUUCUGUAUCAGUAGCCUCUCUAUCAGUAGCCCCUCUUUCAGUAGCCUCUCUAUCAGUAGCCCCUCUUUCAGUAGCCUC